UCUUCUCUUCUUUCAUCGAUUCUGCUGUUUCUCUUAUUAUUCUGGGAGCUUAGUUUUUGAUGGGCUGUUUACUUAGAGCAUCUUCUUUCACCGAUUCACUUUUUUUGGGGCUAGAGCAAAAAAAACAUCUUCAGGGUCCUUAGAAUAGGAAGGUCCUAGAGGAGCAAUCGAAGCCCUCAUUCCCACGGGUCCGCAGGGAGUCCCUACUCCGAUUUUCCCUUCGUCUCGCACGCGCGAAGCUUCUUCCUCUAGAUCCCAUUGCCCAUCUGCUGCCGCUCGCUUCCCUCCCGUUUGCCCGCCGGCGGCCGCCGCCUCCCACCUCUCCCCAUGCCUCCUCCCGCCGCUCCUCUCACCUCCUGCCUGCCGCUGCCACGCGCCACGCUCCCGGCGGCCCCGGGAUCCAAAGGUGGCCGGCGAUGGCACUCGGCCACUCCCCCUCCCCGCGCGUCGUCGAUUCCUUGGCCGCCGACACGCCCCGAGCCGCCUUCACCCCGACCUCCAACCGUCCCCUCCCCGCGCUCUGUGCCCCUGGCCGCCGCCGCCGCCAUAGCAGCGCCUCUGGUCACCGUUGCGCAUCGCCGCCGCCACGCGUCCUCCGUCUGCCGCUGCUCUGCUCCCCGCGCAGCCGUGCUGCCCUGCGCCUCCGCGAGGCAGGCCCGCCCCACCCCGCGCGCUGCCCUUGCUCCUGGUCGACCGCAUCGCCGGCCUGCGCCGCCUCUGCCCUUGACCUCGCCCUCCGGCGCCCUUGGCCGCUCCCCUCCUCCUUCCACCUCGUCUCGCCAUCGGCCACCUCUGUGUUCCAUCGAGAAGAAGACGAAGACAAAGAAAAAGGAAGCCUGAUAUUGGGGUUUGAUGCUCCCAGAAAGGAGAAGGGUGGUGGCCCGGCGCCAAGAAUAGGUUCUGGUAUUUUUCUUGCCAUUAUUGGUCCCCCUGUCUGGAUUAUCCUGUUGCUGCUGCAGCUGUGAGGGGGAGCGGGAGGCUAGGCGUUGGGGAGUAUGUAGGGAAUAAGAGAAAAAAAAAAGACAAGGGGUGUAAUGAAAAAGACGUGACCUGUGACAUGCGGCACCCAUAUAUAAGAAAUACCAUUAAAUGCGCUUAAAACAUUGUUUUGGGUGAUGUGAGACACAACAUGUGUGCUUUUGCGGACAAAUUAGUAAAUGUGAGGCUCGUUGAGAAGCCUGCCUCGUAACCUACGGUUGAGGUUAUGUGAAAUUUACUCCAAAAUAUUAAAAGUACUACUACUCGGAGUAAGAGUCGACGACGAUGACGAGCGGCAGCGAGGGAGUCCAGCACUCCACCGGCGGAGACUGGUCCGCCAUCUUCUCGUCCUCCGGCGGUGGGUACUGCUCCUGCUCCCGCCGCUGCAACGGCGACCACGGCUCGUCCUCCCAGACCCAGCCGUUGUCGUCGUCCUCCUCCUCCUCCUCCCAGACCUGCACCCCCACACGGUGCAGGUUCUUCCUCCACGGUGGCCGGAGCAGCAGGAGCGCGUUCUUCGGCGCUCAUGUGCACCGCUCGGGCGAGCUCUGGCCACAUGGCCAGCUCGGCGAGGGCGGACUACUCCUCCGCCUUGCGGAGCAUCUCCGCCUCCUCCGCCAUCUAAAGCAUCAGCGCCACCUCCUCCUUGGAGGCAUCGAUGGCGGCUUGGAGCGCCGUCGUCGUCGUCCUCCUCCUCCUGCUUGACGGCGACGGGCGAGUCCACACCGACGUCGACGCCCUCGCACCGGAGCAGGGCCUUGGACUGGAACUGCUUGUCCCAGUACUAGGACUCCGGCUAGUACAUAUCCAGCUGACGCUCCUUCGGCGGGAGGGCCUGCCAGCACCUCAUGAUCUCGGCCAUGCGCGCCUGGCCGGUGAGCGUGCCACCCGUGAGGGAGGUGGACGUCGGGACAUGGCAUGGGGGUGCCCUGCUCCCAGAAGCUCCUUGCCGUGGCGACGCCAAUGUUGCACCACCCUGCCCGGGAGGGCGACAUCGGCGGCGCAAUGGUGAAGGGCUCCGGCGGCACCCCGCGGGAUGCAGGCAGGAGUGAGCCCAUGUGCCUCGCCGGCGGUGCACUCCUCGCGCGCUGCCCCGACGAGGACGACGCCUCGGCGUCGUGCUUCGUAUUCCGUGUCCAGAAGGGCGGCGCCAUAGGAGCUUGGGACCGGCGGUGAAGUGGGGAAUGGGCUAGGGUUUCGGGAACUCGGUACGAGUGGGCGGUGAAGGGGGGAAUGGGGACGACGCGGUCCCCAUUUAAUAUGACCGUGAAAGGGAGCAUUGGGCUGCUGGCGGGUGGGGACAGGGAAGGCGAAGGGGUUUGACCCCGCAGACCAACCGGACUGCGCGGCGCUCCGUUCCGCGUCCAUGGAGACACAAACCCGCCCCAGAUUUGGGGCCGGAAUGGGUCGACGCGGACCAGAAUCCGGACAGCCGCGCAAAUGUGUCGCCCCGCUGGGGUUGCUCUUACCGGUAAAUGGUCAAGGAUGAGAGGUUCUCUAGUGAUGGGCAAGGUUGAAAGUCACAAAAACAUAGUUCUCCAAACUAAGCCUCUCGGGACAAUCAAAGAACAGAUGCUGAAUAGAUUCAUCAUGGUCACAGAAAACAUAUUUUGUGCAACCAUUUCAAUUUUUCUUAGCCAAAUUAUAUUUUUUUAGCACCACGCCUUGACAUAGGUACCAAGAAAAAAAAUCUUAAGAGGAAUUUUCAAUUUCCAAAUGACUUUGUGUUUUUUGUGAUUACUAGUUUAAUUUAACUUCAUGCGAUGAAUUGUAUAAGUGCUGGUGUGAUAAUGUGACAAGUCGAGGUGAUGACGUUUUGGGUUGAUCUGAUGUAGACACAUCACAGGUUUCAUCAUCGGUUGUAGGCUGUGUUACACCGAAUUAGAAUCCAGAUCAGGUGUCUAUUCAGAAUCCAAGUCGGAACCGGGUGUAUGAUUUGACAAAUUAAGAUAAAUAUGUGAGAAACACAAUGGUUGUAAAGAGUGGUUUACCUACUUAUUUGUUCUUAUUUUAAAAAAUACAAAUGGUUUAUACAUAUUUCUCAUGCUGCCUAUAUUUCGGUUUAUGAUGUCAUAUUUAGGAGUUGAAUCGCUUAGUGAGGAAUUGUCUUUCAUUUUCCUGUUGAGGCUCUGCAGUUCAUUUUCCAUGAGGAAUCAUCCAUGGGAAGUCUUUCUGUGUUAUGUUCUCGAAUAGGGACCCAACGCUGAGGAGGAGCGGAGCUGCCAAUUUGUUUAUCAGAAAUCUUGAGCCAAACAUUGUCACAAAAAGUUUGCGCCAGAUGUUUUUUGGGUUUGGCACUAUUCUUUUUUUACCACUUAUUUAAAUGGCCAAUCAGAUGGAUAUGCAUUUGUCCAGUUUGUAAGUAGCAAUCAGCUAAGGGUGCCUUGAAUGGCGAGUUUGCCAAUGGCAAUAGCAAACAGAUCUUUCUUUCUUUUUGAAACGGAGCAUAUCUAUUUUGACCUAUUCAUUUGUUGCCAAUAGAGGCAGAACAUUGGUGGUGUGAGCAACUACAAAUGUGUACACGAAGAACUUGCCUAAUGAAUUCACUGAUGAUGACUUGUGUCAAGUGUUUGCACCAUUCGUACACUUAGUAGUGCUAUAAUCAUGAAAGAUGAUCGGUCCCUCAAAAUGAUAAUGGGGAAUCCAGAUGUUUUGGCUUUGUUAACUAUGAGAAACCAGGAUAUGUUGUAGAAGCUGUUGAAAAACUCAAUGUGAAAAUCAGCAGUGAUGUGGCCUUAUAUGUUAGAAGAGCUCAAAAAAGUUGGAACGACAAGCUGAGCUGAAAACAAAGUUUGAGAAUGAGAGAAAUGACAAGUUCAGAAAGUUUAGUGGGUGUACUUAAAUAAACUGGACUAAAAUAUUAAUGAUGAAUAUCUUAGAAAUAUAUUUCAAAGGUUUGGUGAGCUAGGUUCAUGCAAGGUAUUAUUUGCUCCUAAUAUAUGUUUUUAAUCUACUUCUAUGUUCUAGUAUCUUGGCUCAACGUGUCUGUAACUGUCUUGGUCAUGGUUGAUUCACAAGGAAAGCCGUAAGUUUAAAAAUAUUCUUCUGUUCAUAUUUAUCACAAAUUUGCUAUGUUUCCUUUUUGCUCCCUUUUAAGUGGUUUUGAUUAUUUAAUGAUUAUGGCAGAUUAACGAAAUGUAUGGGAAACUGGUCGUCACAAAACUAUUAUAUGUCUGUGUAGAACAAUUACCACUAGCGGUAAGUGGUAAUUCUUCUUCUGUAAGGUAGCUGGCUUCAUCUAAUAGUUAGCCACUUUCUUGUUUGAACAUGUAUACAUUUUAGUGAACCGUGUACCCUUGUUUACUGUACUUGAGGACGCUUACUCGCUUAAUCUCUAGUUAUUUUUUAUGCACGAACCAAUUUAUUUUGUUGUAAAGUUGUGUGCCCUGUACUAGCUAGAACUGGUGAGCGGUAAUCAAGUAUGAGUCAGUUUAGUUUGAUAAGCUAUGACAACGAGCUUAUGUUUUUGACACUACAAAUAAAGUUAAGUUAUGUCACUUAGUUUAAUUUGAUGAGCUAUGACAAAGAGAUUAUGUGUUUGACACUGCAAAUAAAGUUAAGUAAGUUAUGCCACUCAAUUUAAUUUGAUGUGCUAUGACAAAGAGAUUAUGUGUUUGACACUACAAAUAAAGUUAAGUAAGUUACAUCACUAAAGCUGCCACAUGUUUUUGGGUAUACGUGCUAGAAAUGUAUACAAUAAUGUCCUUUCUGAAUUUUUACAAAGCUUAUGUUUCUACAACAUUGUUGUUGCUAGGCACAGUUUGUUUGCUCGUCAUCACAAUGUGUAGGUUCUAUUCAAGGAUUGAACCCAAUUUAUCUCAUUGUAAAGUUGUGUGCCCUGUACUAGCUAGAACCGGUGAGCCGUAGUCAAGUGUGAGUCGGUUUAACUUGGUGAGCUAUGACAAAGAGAUUAUGCGUUUGACACUGUCAAAUAAAGUUAAGUUAUGUCACUCUGUUUAACUUGGUGAGCUUAAAUAAAGUUAAGUAAGUAAUGUCACUCAGUUUAAUUUGAUGAGCUAUGACAAAGAGAUUAUGUGUUUGACACUUCAAAUAAAGUUAAGUAAGUUUUGUCACUGAAGCUGCCAGAUGGUUUUGGGUAUAUACGUGCAAGAAAUGUGUACAAUAAUGUCCUUUUUGAAUUUUUACAGAGCUUAUGUUUCGACCACUUUGUUGUUGCUAGGCACAAUAUGUUUGCUCGUCAUCACAAUGUGUAGGUUCUAUUCAAGGAUUGAACCCAAUUUAUUAGGUUGUAAAGUUGUGUGCCCUGUCGUAGCUAGAACCGGUGAGCGGUAAUCAAGUAUGAGUCAGUUUAAUUUGAUGAGCUAUGGCAAAAAGAUUAUGUGUUUGACACUGUCAAAUAAAGUUAAGUUAUGUCACUCUGUUUAGUUUGAUGAGCUAUGACAAAGAGAUUAUGUGUUUGACACUGCAAAUAAAGUUAAGUUAUGUGACUCAGUUUAAUUUGAUGAGCUAUGACAAAGAAAUUAUGUGUAUGACACUGCAAAUAAAGUUAAGUAAGUUUUGUCACGGAACCUGCCACAUGGUUUUAGGUAUAUACGUGCUACAAAUGUGUACAAUAAUGUCCUUUCUAAAUUUUGACAAGCUUAUGUUUCGUCCACUUUUUUGUUACUAGGCACAAUUUGUUUUCUCGUCAUCAUAAUGUGUAGGUUCCAUUCAAGGAUUGAACCUAAUUUAUUCUGCUGUAAAGUUGUAUGCCCUGUACUAGCUAGAACCGGUGAGCGGAAGUCAAGUAUGAGUCAGUUUAAUUUGAUGAGCUAUAACAAAGAGAUUAUGUGUUUGACACUAUCAAAUAAAGUUAAGUUAUGUCACUCUGUUUAACUUGGUGAGCUAUGACAAAGAGAUUAUGUGUUUGACACUGUCAAAUAAAGUUAAGUAGUUAUGUCACUUUGUUUAACUUGGUGAGCUAUGACAAAGAGAUCAUGUGUUUGACACUGCAAAUAAAGUGAAGUAAGUUAUGUCACUCGGUUUAAUUUGAUGAGCUAUGGCAAAGACAUUAUCUAUUUGACACUGGAAAUAAUGUUAACUAAGUUUUGUCACUGAAGCUGCCACAUGUUUUUGGUAUAUACGUGUUAGAAAUGUGUACAAUAAUGUCGUUUCUGAAUUUUGACAGAGCUUAAGUUUUGACCACUUUGUUGUUGCUAGGCACAAUUUGUUUGCUCGUCGUCACAAUGUGUAGGUUCUACUCAAUGAAUGAACCUGGAGCAGCCAGUUCCAUAAAUCCAUAUGGCAUGCUGUCGAGACCAAUCCAUCAUGGCCAGAGUUCAGGUGAUUGUCGUGGAGGAGGAAUGCAUCUGCAACAUCAGGUGUUUUUGUUUUAUAAUCCUCAAAACAACAAAUGAUCUUGCAAAGUGUACUUCACAUUUUUGCACAUGCCUACUAGUCACUUCACUUGACAUACUGUGCUCUUUACUAUAUGCAGAUGGCUCGCCCAGCAAAUGGAAACCACUGCGUCAGGCACAUACUAAACCUAAAUGCUUGAAAUGGAGCUACCGACAGUGCAAGGGCUCCACAACAGGGCUUCGUGGCUCCCAUGGCGCCUCAGGGAUCCGUGCAAACUGAUAGAGUCACCGCCCCAUCCAUUCCAGAGAAGCGAAAGAUAGAAAACCUUACCACUGCUCUAGCUUCUGCUGAAAUGGAAAAGCAACAUCUGCUAAAGGAUGAUACAAACUCUAUUUUUCUGCUCUUGGAGAGUGCAAAAUGUUAUGAGGAUUUUCAGUUUGGUCAUAUUUUUCUUGUGUUUGCAGAUUCUGGGCAAGAUGUUGCAGCCACUGCUUGAACAACUUGUUGGAAAUAGGUGGCAAAUGGGCCAAAGCAUGAACCCAAAUGACAAUUAAUAAAAAAUCUCUAAAACCAUUUAGUUAUUGACAUGAGGGAGAAUGAGAAUAGAAUGAGAAAAAAAUCUCUAAAACCAUUUAUGACGAGGACAUCUCUAGUCCUUUGUCAUCAACUCCAAUUGAUGAUGUUGCUGCACAGGACAAGCCCAAUGAAAUUAAACUUUGGCCAAUAACAAGAGCACUUGCAAAACUACUUGAACAACAGGUGAAUUCAUUCUUAAUUGAAUCUGAUAUUUUUAUUGAUGAGAGCUUUAUACUACCUAAAUCUAUGCAUUUAUGUAUGAUCAGAUUUAAAGAUGACUCAAGUAUUGCACGUGGAGGAGGAGAGUUGCAGCAAGAUCCAUUGCCAUUGAUUUCCUAUAUCAAGAAGAGCGUGAGGGAGGCCGGCGCACCACAUGAAGAGGAGGAAAUCAACUAAGCGCACGUUGAGGGAUAUGUGACACACAUAGGGGUGCUUACGACAUGUUAUUUUGCCUAAGUGUGUGCACGAUGAGAGUUGGGCCCGCGUGCCCCUAGUUUGGGCUGAACCCAACGUUUUGGGUUAGUUUGUAUCAAGUGGGUUGAACCAAAUUCGAGUCCGAGUCCAAUUAAGUUGCUGGACAUCCACCCACCUAUAUAAGUUGAGGGACGCCCAAGAUUAGGGUUAGACCAUGUUUAGAUUAUUGAACCUUUCGUUGAACUGUUGCAAGCAUUCAUCUGAAAUUAUAUUCCUCUUUAAUUCGAUCAGAAAUUUUACCUUCA